rnacentral:rRNA from 1 species
UUCCGUAGGUGAACCUGAACCUGCGGAGGGAUCAUUACCGAGUUUACAACUCCCAAACCCCUGUGAACAUACCAAUUGUUGCCUCGGCGGAUCAGCCCGCUCCCGGUAAAACGGGACGGCCCGCCAGAGGACCCCUAAACUCUGUUUCUAUAUGUAACUUCUGAGUAAAACCAUAAAUAAAUCAAAACUUUCAACAACGGAUCUUUUGGUUCUGGCAUCGAUGAAGAACGCAGCAAAAUGCGAUAAGUAAUGUGAAUUGCAGAAUUCAGUGAAUCAUCGAAUCUUUGAACGCACAUUGCGCCCGCCAGUAUUCUGGCGGGCAUGCCUGUUCGAGCGUCAUUUCAACCCUCAAGCCCCCGGGUUUGGUGUUGGGGAUUGGCGAGCCCUCGCGGCAAGCCGGCCCCGAAAUCUAGUGGCGGUCUCGCUGCAGCUUCCAUUGCGUAGUAGUAAAACCCUCGCAACUGGUACGCGGCGCGGCCAAGCCGUUAAACCCCCAAACU